rnacentral:rRNA from 1 species
UACGUAGGUGGCAAGCGUUGUCCGGAUUUAUUGGGCGUAAAGAGCUCGUAGGCGGCUCAGUAAGUCGGAUGUGAAAACUCGGGGCUCAACCCCGAGACGCCAUCCGAUACUGCUGUGGCUUGAGUCUGGUAGGGGAACACGGAAUUCCUGGUGUAGCGGUGAAAUGCGCAGAUAUCAGGAGGAACACCGAUGGCGAAGGCAGUGUUCUGGGCCAGUACUGACGCUGAGGAGCGAAAGCGUGGGUAGCAAACAGG